rnacentral:rRNA from 1 species
AUUGAACGCUGGCGGCAGGCCUAACACAUGCAAGUCGAGCGAGCGGCGGACGGGUGAGAAAUGUCUGGGAAACUGCCUGAUGGAGGGGGAUAACUACUGGAAACGGUAGCUAAUACCGCAUACCAUCAGAUGUGCCCAGAGGGGAUUAGCUAGUCGGUGGGGUAACGGCUCACCUAGGCGACGAUCCCUAGCUGGUCUGAGAGGAGGACCAGCCACACUGGAACUGAGACACGGUCCAGACUCCUACGGGAGGCAGCAGUGGGGAAUAUUGCACAAUGGUCGCAAGCCUGAUGCAGCCACGCCGCGUGUAUGACGAAGGCCUUCGGGUUGUAAAGUACUUUCAGCGAGGAGGCGUUACCCGCAGAAGAAGCACCGGGUAACUCCGUGCCAGCAGCCGCGGUAAUAC